rnacentral:rRNA from 1 species
AGAGUUUAGAUCAUGGCUCAGGACGAACGCUGGCGGCGUGCUUAACACAUGCAAGUCGAGCGGUAAGGCCCUUUCGGGGGUACACGAGCGGCGAACGGGUGAGUAACACGUGGGUAACCUGCCCUCAGCUCUGGGAUAAGCCCGGGAAACUGGGUCUAAUACCGGAUAUGACCUCGCAUCGCAUGGUGUGGGGUGGAAAGCCUUGUGCGGCUGAGGAUGGGCCCGCGGCCUAUCAGCUUGUUGGUGGGGUAGUGGCCUACCAAGGCGACGACGGGUAGCCGGCCUGAGAGGGCGACCGGCCACACUGGGACUGAGACACGGCCCAGACUCCUACGGGAGGCAGCAGUGGGGAAUAUUGCGCAAUGGGCGAAAGCCUGACGCAGCGACGCCGCGUGAGGGAUGACGGCCUUCGGGUUGUAAACCUCUUUCAGCUCCGACGAAGCCUUCGGGUGACGGUAGGGGCAGAAGAAGCACCGGCCAACUACGUGCCAGCAGCCGCGGUAAUACGUAGGGUGCAAGCGUUGUCCGGAAUUAUUGGGCGUAAAGAGCUCGUAGGCGGUUUGUCGCGUCGACUGUGAAAACUCAGGGGCUCAACUCCGAGCUUGCAGUUGAUACGGGCAGACUAGAGUUCGGCAGGGGAGACUGGAAUUCCUGGUGUAGCGGUGAAAUGCGCAGAUAUCAGGAGGAACACCGGUGGCGAAGGCGGGUCUCUGGGCCGAUACUGACGCUGAGGAGCGAAAGCGU